AGUCACUAGAAAGCAUGAACAUAAAAGCUGCAGCACUGCUAUAAAAUAAUGAAAUAUAAUAAAACAAAAGACUACAGGUCUGUGUAAAAAAACAUAACAUACACUCAAGUGCACACUGACACCCAGAUACAAACAAACACAAAAAUACACACACUGAUAAACACAGGUGCACACUGACACCCAGAUACAAACAAACACAAAGAUACACACACUGAUAGAUAC